rnacentral:misc_RNA from 1 species
GAAGGGGAGGGGAGAGAAAAUGGGGCUGUAGGGUCCACAUGUCAAGAAACAAAUUUGUGGGCCCCACAGCCCAUUUCUCUCCCCCUUCCCUUUCCCAAACACAGCAUAAAUUUCCAAUUAUCCAAAACAACUUAACAUUAAAAGAGCCACAACACCACUGAAUACAGGCAACACAAAAUAAUCUGUAGACCUAAUAACAAAGUCAAAUACCAAAAGUACCCUAAGUAAUCUAGAUAAGCAAAGCAACAAAAAUACAUAUUUUCUAGAUUUCUUUUUUUUAAUUAUUACCUUUCUAAAAAACAGUCCUCAAAUGCCUAACAGGUGGUCCUGCAUCACUAAAUGCACAUCUUGCUAAAAAAUGCAACCAUACAGGAAGAAAAACUAGAAUUUGAGAACACUUGGUUAACAGAAAUAAUCUGAGAAUGGAACAAAACAGGGCGUGGAAAUUAAAAAUUCAAGGCCAGAAUGAUAAGAAGGAAAAAGGAGGUCAUAGGAAUAUCAAUACAAAAUGCAAUUCAAAAACUUAAUUGCUUCGACUCUUCACUUUUACUUGAGGUGAUCAUUUCAGAUUAAGUUACUUGGAAAUG